AUUGAACGCUGGCGGCAGGCCUAACACAUGCAAGUCGAGCGAGCGGCGGACGGGUGAGUAAUGUAUGGGGACUGCCCGAUAGAGGGGGAUAACUACUGGAAACGGUGGCUAAUACCGCUUACUAUCGGAUAACCCAUAUGGGAUUAGCUAGUAGGUGGGUUAAAGGCUCACCUAGGCGACGAUCCAUAGCUGGUCUGAGAGGAUGAUCAGCCAAACGGAGACUGAGACACGGCCCAGACUCCAAGGGAGGCAGCAGUGGGGAAUAUGGCACAAUGGGCGCAAGCCUGAUGCAGCCAUGCCGAGUGUAUGAAGAAGGCCGUAGGGUUGUAAAGUACUUUCAGCGGGGAGGCGUUACCCGCAGAAGAAGCACCGGCUAACUCCGUGCCAGCAGCCGCGGUAAUUA
rnacentral:rRNA from 1 species